UACAGAGACCUCAAACGUUGUCCGGAAUUAUUGGGCGUAAAGAGCUCGUAGGCGGUCUGUCACGUCGGCUGUGAAAACCCGAGGCUCAACCUCGGGCCUGCAGUCGAUACGGGCAAACUAGAGUACUGCAGGGGAGACUGGAAUUCCUGGUGUAGCGGUGAAAUGCGCAGAUAUCAGGAGGAACACCGGUGGCGAAGGCGGGUCUCUGGGCAGUAACUGACGCUGAGGAGCGAAAGCGUGGGGAGCGAACAGG
rnacentral:rRNA from 1 species